rnacentral:misc_RNA from 1 species
GAUGAAGAACGCAGCGAAACGCGAUACGUAAUGUGAAUUGCAGAAUUCAGUGAAUCAUCGAGUCUUUGAACGCACAUUGCGCCCCCUGGUAUUCCGGGGGGCAUGCCUGUCCGAGCGUCAUUGCUGCCCUCAAGCACGGCUUGUGUGUUGGGCCUCCGUCCUCCUCCCGGGGGACGGGCCCGAAAGGCAGCGGCGGCACCGCGUCCGGUCCUCGAGCGUAUGGGGCUUCGUCACCCGCUCUUGUAGGCCCGGCCGGCGCUUGCCGACACAUCAAUCUUUUUUCCAGGUUGACCUCGGAUCAGGUAGGGAUACCCGCUGAACUUAAGCAUAUCAAUAAGCGGAGGA